GGACUUAGACAUUUUUUGCUUUGGAAAGUAGUGGAAUUCUUUGGAAAAAAUGAUAAAAUGAGAAACUUAGCCAUUUUCUGCUCUGGAAAACUGUGGAAAAUUACUUAGAAUUUUUUUAACUGUCGACCAAUAGUACAAUAACAUCGGGAUCGAAGUCGGGCUCGAUGAACAAUUAAUUUAAACAACAAGCCGAAAUUCAAAAAUAUCGAAUGUCAUGUUGAUGUUGCACAGAAGGAAAGUUGGAAAGAGAGUGUCUAGAACAGGGGAAUCUUGAUUAGCUUUAGAUGGAAGAAGAUGAAGACAUUUUAAGACCCGCUGUUGCUGCAUUGUGCCUGAGAUGAUCCCCUCAGCGCUGGCGUUUGAUAACUUGGUGGAUGUAGAUGCUUAGCCAGUCAGUCUCUAGGCUUGUGAAUAUGGAAUCCAGGUGCUCACAAGGACAAGAGGUGUAUGAAAAGAAAAACAUAAAGAAAUCGUGUAAGGAUCGAAAGUUUGAAGUGUCUGUUGGAAUGAUCAACAUCGAACUUUCUGAGCUUUCGUACUGAAAGUGAAUCCGUUCGUGACACCAAUUAACUGUCAACCUUCUAACAUAACCAUUUACUAAUUUCAUAGAAUAUCAGUGAGGAAGUGCAUGAUUCUCUAGCAAACACGUCAGAAGUUUUGGAUCUUCAUUAAUUGGGAUCUUUGGCACGUACGUUGAGGAGAAAUAUCAUCUGUUGAUUUUAUGGGAUCAUUGUAUCAAUAUAGUUGUGUAGUACAUAUUUUUUGCAUGUAAUACAUGUGUUUGUCACUCUAGUCAAUAACUUUGUACCAGUACAUAAGCAUGAAAAGCCACUGGCAGUUCAUUGUAAAUGUAUACUUUGUUGAGGUCUC